rfam:Desulfobacterales bacterium PC51MH44 PC51MH44_contig000111, whole genome shotgun sequence.
CAGCUGGUGAAAGUCCAGCCGUAUCAGUUGCCCGUUUUAGAUAUGUAGCGAUGCCACAUCUCGGGGCAGGUAACCAACCGAGCUAUGCGUAGUGUAAACGGCCCGGCUGCCCUAUGGACGUAGAGCCAUUGCGGUAGGUGCAACCUGGGGGUCUAGCGAGCAUGGGGGCCUGAACAUAA